GCUCCCCACGCUUUCGCACCUGAGCGUCAGUCUUCGUCCAGGGGGCCGCCUUCGCCACCGGUAUUCCUCCAGAUCUCUACGCAUUUCACCGCUACACCUGGAAUUCUACCCCCCUCUACGAGACUCAAGCUUGCCAGUAUCAGAUGCAGUUCCCAGGUUGAGCCCGGGGAUUUCACAUCUGACUUAACAAACCGCCUGCGUGCGCUUUACGCCCAGUAAUUCCGAUUAACGCUUGCACCCUCCGUAUUACCGCGGCUGCUGGCACGGAGUUAGCCGGUGCUUCUUCUGCGGGUAACGUCAAUGAGCAAAGGUAUUAACUUUACUCCCUUCCUCCCCGCUGAAAGUACUUUACAACCCGAAGGCCUUCUUCAUACACGCGGCAUGGCUGCAUCAGGCUUGCGCCCAUUGUGCAAUAUUCCCCACUGCUGCCUCCCGUAGAAGUCUGGACCGUGUCUCAGUUCCAGUGUGGCUGGUCAUCCUCUCAGACCAGCUAGGGAUCGUCGCCUUGGUGAGCCGU
rnacentral:rRNA from 1 species